UCCUACGGGAGGCAGCAGUGGGGAAUAUUGCACAAUGGGCGAAAGCCUGAUGCAGCCAUGCCGCGUGUGUGAAGAAGGCCUUCGGGUUGCAAAGCACUUUCAGUCAGGAGGAAAGGGUGUGAGUUAAUACCUCACAUCUGUGACGUUACUGACAGAAGAAGCACCGGCUAACUCCGUGCCAGCAGCCGCGGUAAU
rnacentral:rRNA from 1 species